ensembl:lncRNA
GUAGCUCCAGUGAACCACAGUGAGAGCCGUUAUCCACAAAUGAGGAAAACAUGGAAAAGUGGUGAACCUUCCCUGGAGUGACAGGCCAACCAAAAUCCUCCAAGAGCGCAUCGACAACUCAUCCAGGAGGUCACAAAAGACCCCCAGAAAAACAGAACUGCUGGUCUCACUUGCAUCAAGCCAUAAGAACAAAACAUCAGGCUGGCCGCCUCCUGGCCCAGGCUCUUGGGGAGGACUACAGGGGCCCCCAUACAGUUGGGACAGCAUGAACAGCGCCAGGGAGGGACGGGAAUGCCUCACCAACUUUCCCUUGACCCCGUGAUGCCUUCGUCUUUCCUUCUGCGGGAUUAAAC